ensembl:misc_RNA 7SK 7SK RNA
AGAUAUGAGGGUGAUCUGACUGUGACAACUGUCACCUCAUUGAUUGACAGGGUUGAUUCGGCUGAUCUGGCUGGCUAGGCAAGUGUCCCCUUCCUCCCUCACCAUUCCAUGUGUGUCCCUCCUGAAGCUGCACACUCAGUCGAAGAGGAUGGCCAUCCCCCAUAGAGGAGGACCAGUCUUCGGUCAAAGGUAUAUGAGUUGUUGUGCUCCCCUGCUAAAGCCUCCAAACAAGCUCUCAAGAAAUCAUGUUCCCUCCUCCUCCCCAAGGUUUCCUUCCAGGAGCAUUAUGGUUAUGGGUUUUGCAUUAAGGUCUAUGAUGUAGCUAGAAUUCAGUUUUGCGUAU